UACGUAGGGUGCGAGCGUUGUCCGGAAUUAUUGGGCGUAAAGAGCUCGUAGGCGGUGUGUCGCGUCGGCCGUGAAAACCUGCAGCUUAACUGUGGGCUUGCGGUCGAUACGGGCAUCACUGGAGUUCGGCAGGGGAGACUGGAAUUCCUGGUGUAGCGGUGAAAUGCGUAGAUAUCAAGAGGAACACCUGAGGCGAAGGCGGGUUGCUGGGCCGACACUGACGCUGAUGCGCGAAAGCCAGGGGAGCGAACGGG
rnacentral:rRNA from 1 species